UACGGAGGGUGCAAGCGUUGCUCGGAAUUAUUGGGCGUAAAGGGUAGGUAGGUGGUCUCAUUUGUCUGGGGUGAAAGCCUUGGGCUUAACUCAAGAAGUGCCUCAGAAACGGUGAGACUAGAGUCCUGGAGAGGGUCGUGGAAUUCCCGGUGUAGCGGUGAAAUGCGUAGAGAUCGGGAGGAACACCAGAGGCGAAGGCGGCGACCUGGACAGGUACUGACACUCAACUACGAAAGCGUGGGGAGCAAACAGG
rnacentral:rRNA from 1 species